GCCUACAGCCAUACCACCCUGAGAACACCCGAGCUCCGCUGAUCUCAGAAGCUAAGCAGGGUCAGGCCUGCUUAGUACUUGGACGUUAGACUGCCUGGGAAUACCAGGUGCUGUAGGCU
rnacentral:rRNA from 1 species